rnacentral:rRNA from 1 species
UACGGGGGGUGCGAGCGUUGUCCGGAAUCACUGGGCGUAAAGCGCGCGUAGGCGGCCCGGUAAGUCCGUUGUGAAAGUCAAAGGCUCAACCUUUGAACGCCGAUGGAUACUGCCGGGCUAGAGUCCGGAAGAGGCGAGUGGAAUUCCUGGUGUAGCGGUGGAAUGCGCAGAUAUCAGGAGGAACACCAAUAGCGAAGGCAGCUCGCUGGGACGGUACUGACGCUGAGGCGCGAAAGCGUGGGGAGCAAACAGG